ensembl:lncRNA
UCUGUUAUACACACACACACCCACACACAUAAUGAAAACUUUUUUUGUUUUCCUAACUUUAAAAAGCUCAAUUAUAAACUAACACAUUUCAGUGUGAAAUUCCCUAAUUCCCAGGGGGAGAAUAUGCAAGAGAGCUCUCUGUUGAGCUGUGCUGUCUAAUAUAAACAGUAUGCACAGGCAACUAAAUAAAAACUUAGUUCCUAAUCGUUCGUGUCAAGUGCCAGCCAGCCAUCUGGCUCAAGGUUUUUGUAUUAAACACCAAAUACAGACUCUUUCCAUCAUGGUAGAAAAUGCUACUUGUCUAGAUGUUGUGGUGCCUAUCUAUAAACCUAAUAGGAGCACGCAGAAGCAGGACUGAGUUCAAGAUGCUGUCUUACUGGACCACACUGCCACAGGGCACCUAUUUUGUAUUCAUCUCUCACCUGCUAUAAGUAAAUCUGAAACUACCUUUUCCCUUCGCUGUUGGGCUGAUGGUUGGGGCCAGAGACCUCAUCAUACCAGGAGUAUUCUAUCACUGGGUCCAUCACAGAAUGGAAUUGUCCGAUUUCGUUGCUUAAUUGAUCACCACCAAAACCCUUAUAUAAAACUUAUUUAAUGCCAAACUGAAAGUUUAAUGUGAGAAUCCACAUUCAUUAAAAACCACUAAAUUGGGGUUGGGGAUUUAGCUCAGUGGUAGAGCGCUUGCCUAGCAAGCACAAGGCCCUGGGUUCGGUCCUCAGCUCCAGGGGGAAAAAAAAAGAAAGAAAUAUAUCUAAAAACCACUAAAUCAUCUCAUGAUGUCUCCUUUUUUUGUGGAUCACUUUUAUUCGGGGUCCUCAACAGAUUAGUGUGUGUUCUCGGUGAAGAAAGUGCCGAAUAUGAAGUGGGAAGUAUGAAGAAUCUGGGCUUCAUCUGCAGCUUGAGUUUGUGACAUUAUGAUUUCUUUUGUUAGCUUAUUUCUGUAGAAUUCAUUUUAUUUACAGAACAGUUGCAACAUUUUCAAACUUACCUAUCCCUCUCAGUUAAUACUCAGAGUAAAAAAAUGUUAUAAGGCAAAAAUAUUCAGAGUAAAAAGUAAUGGUGAGAAAAAACAUUUAAGCUAUCUCCUUAUGCUGGUGAGGUAAGGAGCAUUUCUAGCCACUGAGUGCUGAUUUAAAAACUCUAAUUAUCAAGACAAUGCAAAGCCAGGCAUGGCUGCAUGCCAGCAUCUGGGAAGCUGAAGCAGGAGAACCACAAGUUCAAGGCCAGGCUAGACCCUAAGACCGUAAACUGAAUUCCAGGCCAGCGUGGAGAGACGCUCUAUGUCCAACAACACAAAAAGGAUAGAAUGCAGAGCACGCUUAGACAGCAACUCGGCUCCUUCUCUCUUACUGUCAUCUGGUCUUUCACGAUAGGGUAGCCCUGGCUGUACACUGGGCUGUAUAGACCAGCCUGGCCUCUCACUCAGAGAUCUGCCUGCCUCUGCCUCCUGGGUACUUGGAUUAAAGGCCUUCUCCACUAUACUCAGCUUACUUUGUGUCUAAGGUUUUGGUUGUUUGUUUUUACUAAGUUUUUAAAAUAUAUAAUCCAAAAGCAUGGGCCAACUGAAAGGGUUUGUAUUGUGCUCCUCUUUGGAGCUGAGCUCUACCACCUUUUGGCAGUGCUCUAAGUGAACACAAUCAUUAGUUACCCUGAUAUAUAGAUCAGUAAAAUCAAACUCACUAGCUCAUUUUUAUCAGAUGAAUUCCAUGGCCAGCUCUACAGAGUAAGCAUUUAAUGUCACCAGCUUUUUUUGAAUGCUAGAUUAUAUAUAAAAUGUAAGUUUUUUCCUCCACUUCUUGUGAAGGGUGGCAAUGGUAACAAAGUCUACUCUAACUGGAUCUUACUCCAGUGUAAGAGAAGCACUAGUCUUAUCUUACAAACCCUGUCUCAAAAAAAAAAAAAAAAAAAA